CAAGAGCGUAUGUAAAAGUUGUUGCAGUUAAAAAGCUCGUAGUUGAACCUUGGGUUUGGUUGGCCGGUCCGCUUUUUUGCGAGUACUGGAUUCAACCGAGCCUUUCCUUCUGGCUAACCAGUCGUUUCGGCGGCUGGCGAACCAGGAUUUUUACUUUGAGAAAAUUAGAGUGUUCAAAGCAGGCAUUAGCUUGAAUAUAUUAGCAUGGAAUAAUAGAAUAGGACGUUAUGGUUCUAUUUUGUUGGUUUCUAGGACCAUCGUAAUGAUUAAUAGGGACGGUCGGGGGCAUCAGUAUUCAGCUGUCAGAGGUGAAAUUCUUGGAUUUACUGAAGACUAACUACUGCGAAAGCAUUUGCCAAGGACGUUUUCAUUAA
rnacentral:rRNA from 1 species